rnacentral:rRNA from 1 species
UACGUAGGUCGCAAGCGUUGUCCGGAUUUAUUGGGCGUAAAGAGCUCGUAGGCGGCUCAGUAAGUCGGAUGCGAAAACUCAGGGCUCAACCCUGAGACGCCAUCCGAUACUGCUGUGGCUUGAAUCUGGUAGGGGAGCACGGAAUUCCUGGUGUAGCGGUGAAAUGCGCAGAUAUCAGGAAGAACACCAAUGGCGAAGGCAGCUCUCUGGGACGGUACUGACGCUGAGACGCGAAAGCGUGGGGAGCGAACAGG